rnacentral:lncRNA from 1 species
GUGGCUCCCGGGAGGAGGAGACGGGGCGGAGCGGGCGGGGGCUCGGGCGCCGCUGCUCUUGGCGGGGCCUUUGGAGGGGUGCGGCGGGCAAUCAGCGGAGAAGGUGCGAGGAGAGGACCCCGUGCGGCCCACUAUCCCCGGCCGGGCAGUGACAGACGAGGGCGCAGGCAUCGCGCCUCUGCGCGAGAGCAGGAGCAGGCAGUGACGGGGGGAAGGGAGUGCGGUGCCGAGGGCGCCCAGGGCUGCGCUCGCGGACGCCGACGCGGCCCCUCGGCCGGCCGGGCCUCCGCAGGCCUGGGGACGUAUGCAAUGACGGGAGAGGCUCGAGUGUUGGAUGUUCCGGAUUCGCGUUUGGAGCACAGCAGAAACAGGGAACUAAAUAUGGCUGCCAUCAAGGAUUGCCGGAAACUAGAACGCUGAUCGUCAGAGCUGCAGUUUUCCAAGGCACAUUGGUUCUUCCCCUCAGACUGGAAGGGGCACCCAUUCCCAGACACACUCCAGCCUUGAGUUUACAGCACUCACCCUGCGCAAGGUGCGUACCAAAAGUCAUUGUACGCAUACAUGCACACCUGUACAUAUUUCACCCUGAGGUUUCUGAAGGCAGUCUGCCUUUUUCUGCUUUAUGAAAUACAGUGAACAUUAAUGGACACAGCUGAAGUGACAGGGUAGGAGGGGGGCUGGUCCAUACUCGGAAGAAUGCACAGAAUUUUGGUUGAGGCAGCCAAGUGAGAGGAUCCUGCGAAGGUGCUGAGAACUGCCAAGUGGAGGGGGGUGGGGAACACAGGCGCAUGACUGACAGCUGACCUAGCCUGCCAGGCAGGGAGAAGCAGUUGAGGAAGGCCCCUUGCACAGGAGGAAGCCCCAGCCUCGGUGGAAAGCCAGCAGGCAUGUGCUGGGCUACUGGUUUAGGUGGAAAGGGCACUCAGACCCAAAGUUCACAAGUGAGGACCUGCAUGCUGUGUUCAGGGAACCCCAUGUCACGUGGUCUUGCUGGUGAUGGGGGAGGAGAGACUAGAGAGUUAUGAGGGGCUUGAGGUGGACUGGCACCUCUGAUGAGGCCCAUGGGCUGGCUUCAGCUCACUGGUAGGCCUUGUGUCACCCAGAGAGGAGUUGGGUUUUUUUUAAGUGACUUAGUUGCCAGCAUUUAAAAAUUGGGAGCAUUCACUUGAGAAAUCUCAAUUGUUGUUUUUGCUUGAAUAGUUAGAAGCUCUGGCAACAUGGGGCCUGCCUUGCCAGAGGGCAGUGGUCAGCAGGAACUGAGUGGCAGCUGCCCUUUUAGGUGAGGCUCCUAGUUCACCACAGUUCCCUUCCCCCCCAUUACCCAUGCCUGGCUGUGACUUCACUCGUCCCUCACCUGCUGGCCCCUGGGGCAUGGCAGGGUGGGGGCCUGCUUGUGGAGGUGAGGGGCAACUGUUGAUGGCUAUUGAGGAAGGAAGUGAGCAGUGUGACUAGGUGUUUGUUGUGGAAAGAUUGCUAGGGCACGUGAAGUUUCAGGGUUGUGGGGCUUAAGGCCACAAGACUAGUUUAGGGAGCUAUUGCAAAGGCCCUUGUGAGAGAAGAUGAGGCCUGGCCUGGCCUGGGGCCAUGGCCAUGGCAGCAGGUGUCAAAAGGAAGGAACUGAUUUUAAAACUGUUUCAAGACUUUAAGGAAAUGCAAGUUAAAAUCACAAUGAACUACUGUGACUAUGUGUAACCACUAACUGUAAUUACUAUGUGUAAGCUACUAGCAUGGCUGUAAUGAAAGUGACAGACAGUAUCACCUGUUAGUGAUGAUGUGGAACAAGUGGAACUCUCCUACACUGCUGGUGGGAAAGCCAAGUGGUAUACCCACUUUGGAAAACAGUUUGACAGUUUCUGAGAACAUUAAACAUACAACUGUCACACCACCCAGCAGUCCCAUUCCUGGGUAUGUAUCCAAAAGAAAUAAAAGCUGGUCCACACAGAAUGUGGUACA